rnacentral:rRNA from 1 species
UAGUGGCGCACGGGUGCGUAACGCGUGGGAAUCUGCCCUUGGGUUCGGAAUAACAGUGAGAAAUUACUGCUAAUACCGGAUGAUGUCUUCGGACCAAAGAUUUAUCGCCCAGGGAUGAGCCCGCGUAGGAUUAGGUAGUUGGUGGGGUAAUGGCCUACCAAGCCGACGAUCCUUAGCUGGUCUGAGAGGAUGAUCAGCCACACUGGGACUGAGACACGGCCCAGACUCCUACGGGAGGCAGCAGUGGGGAAUAUUGGACAAUGGGCGAAAGCCUGAUCCAGCAAUGCCGCGUGAGUGAUGAAGGCCUUAGGGUUGUAAAGCUCUUUUACCAGGGAUGAUAAUGACAGUACCUGGAGAAUAAGCUCCGGCUAACUCCGUGCCAGCAGCCGCGGUAAUACGGAGGGAGCUAGCGUUGUUCGGAAUUACUGGGCGUAAAGCGCGCGUAGGCGGUUACUCAAGUCAGAGGUGAAAGCCCGGGGCUCAACCCCGGAACUGCCUUUGAAACUAGGUGACUAGAAUCUUGGAGAGGUCAGUGGAAUUCCGAGUGUAGAGGUGAAAUUCGUAGAUAUU